GAUGAACGCUGGCGGCGUGCCUAACACAUGCAAGUCGAACGGAGAUUACGGACGGAAGUUUUCGGAUGGAAGACUGUAAUUCUUAGUGGCGGACGGGUGAGUAACGCGUGGGCAACCUGCCCUAUACAGGGGGAUAGCAGCUGAAAACGGCUGGUAAGACCGCAUAAGUCGGCGAGACCGCAUGGUUUUGCCGGGAAAUGAGCAAUCAGGUAUAGGAUGGGCCCGCGUCCGAUUAGCCAGUUGGCAGGGUAAAAGCCUACCAAAGCAACGAUCGGUAGCCGGACUGAGAGGUCGGACGGCCACAUUGGGACUGAGACACGGCCCAAACUCCUACGGGAGGCAGCAGUGGGGGAUAUUGCACAAUGGAGGAAACUCUGAUGCAGCGACGCCGCGUGAGUGAAGAAGUAUUUCGGUAUGUAAAGCUCUAUCAGCAGGGAAGAUGAUGACGGUACCUGACUAAGAAGCCCCGGCUAACUACGUG
rnacentral:rRNA from 1 species